GCCCCCGUAGCUCAGUGGAUAGAGCACGCGCCUCCUAAGCGCGGUGUCGCAGGUUCGAUUCCUGCCGGGGGCA
rnacentral:tRNA from 2 species